rnacentral:rRNA from 1 species
CCUACGGGAGGCAGCAGUGGGGAAUCUUCCGCAAUGGACGAAAGUCUGACGGAGCAACGCCGCGUGUACGACGAAGGCCUUCGGGUUGUAAAGUACUGUCUUCAGGGACGAAUGGUAGGUGUGUAAAUAAUGCGCUUACAUGACGGUACCUGAGGAGGAAGCCCCGGCUAACUACGUGCCAGCAGCCGCGGUAAUACGUAGGGGGCAAGCGUUGUCCGGAAUCAUUGGGCGUAAAGGGCGCGUAGGCGGAUAUUUAAGUCUGGUGUGAAAACCUAGGGCUCGACCCUGGGACUGCAUCGGAAACUGGGUAUCUUGAGGACAGGAGAGGAAAGUGGAAUUCCACGUGUAGCGGUGAAAUGCGUAGAUAUGUGGAGGAACACCAGUGGCGAAGGCGACUUUCUGGACUGUAACUGACGCUGAGGCGCGAAAGCGUGGGGAGCAAACAGGAUUAGAUACCCUGGUAGUCCACGCCGUAAACGAUGAGUCUAUGUGUAUUAGGGUAUCGACCCCUUCUGUGCCGCAUUUAACACAAUAAU